rnacentral:rRNA from 1 species
UACGUAGGGGGCUAGCGUUGUCCGGAAUCAUUGGGCGUAAAGAGCGUGUAGGCGGUCCGGUAAGUCCGCUGUGAAAGUCGGGGGCUCAACCCUCGAAUGCCGGUGGAUACUGUCGGGCUAGAGUGCGGAAGAGGAGUGUGGAAUUCCUGGUGUAGCGGUGAAAUGCGCAGAUAUCAGGAGGAACACCAAUGGCGAAGGCAGCACUCUGGGACGUGACUGACGCUGAGACGCGAAAGCGUGGGGAGCGAACAGG